CUGAUGUAUUUUUGUUAUUUGUGUCGCCAUGUUUCUGUCUUGUUGAUGUAUGUCGUAUGCUGAUGUAUUUUUGUUAUUUGUGUCGUCAUGUUUCUGUCUUGUUGAUGUAUGUCGUAUGCUGAUGUAUUUUUGUUAUUUGUGUCGUCAGGUUUCUGUCUUGUUGAUGUAUGUCGUAUGCUGAUGUAUUUUUGUUAUUUGUGUCGUCAUGUUUCUGUCUUGUUGAUGUAUGUCGUAUGCUGAUGUAUUAUAGUUAUUUGUGUCGUCAUGUUUCGGUCUUGUUGAUGUAUGUCGUAUGCUGAUGUAUUUUUGUUAUUUGUGUCGUCGGGUUUCUGUCUUGUUGAUGUAUGUCGUAUGCUGAUGUAUUUUUGUUAUUUGUGUCGUCAUGUUUCUGUCUUGUUGAUGUAUGUCGUAUGUUGAUGUAUUAUAGUUAUUUGUGUCGUCAUGUUUCGGUCUUGUUGAUGUAUGUCGUAUGCUGAUGUAUUUUUGUUAUUUGUGUCGUCAGGUUUCUGUCUUGUUGAUGUGUGUCGUAUGCUGAUGUAUUUUUGUUAUUUGUGUCGUCAUGUUUAUAUAUAUAUAUAAAAAGGAAGAAAAUAAUUUCAUUAAAAUAUUACAACCUAAAAAGUUUGAAAGGGCUCAGUAUAUUAUAUAUAUAUAUAGGUAUAUAGGAAAUUGUGGUUUAAGUGCCAAUGAGACGAAUAUCCUUCCA
rnacentral:lncRNA from 1 species